GAUGAAGAACGUAGCGAAAUGCGAUAAGUAGUAUGAAUUGCAGAAUUCAGUGAAUCAUCGAAUCUUUGAACGCACAUUGCGCCCCAUGGUAUUCCGUGGGGCAUGUCUGUUCGAGCGUCAUUUACCCCCUCAAGCUCCGCUUGGUGUUGGGCGUCUGUCCCGCUUCGCGCGCGGACUCGCCCCAAAGGUAUUGGCAGCGGUCGUGCCAGCUUCUCGCGCAGCACAUUGCGCUUCUCGAGGCACCGGUGGGCCCGCGUCCAUCAAGCUCACCCCCCCAGUUUGACCUCGGAUCAGGUAGGGAUACCCGCUGAACUUAAGCAUAUCAAUAAGAGGAGGA
rnacentral:misc_RNA from 1 species